UGGGGAAUAUUGGGCAAUGGGCGAAAGCCUGACCCAGCAACGCCGCGUGAGGGAAGAAGGUUUUCGGAUUGUAAACCUCUGUCCUAAGUGACGAAGGAAGUGACGGUAGCUUAGGAGGAAGCCCCGGCUAACUACGUGCCAGCAGCCGCGGUAAUACGUAGGGGGCGAGCGUUGUUCGGAAUGACUGGGCGUAAAGGGCGCGUAGGCGGCCGAUCAAGUUGGGAGUGAAAUUCCUGCUUUCAAGGUGGGAACUGCUUUCAAAACUGGUUGGCUUGAGUGCGGAAGAGGUAAGUGGAAUUCCCAGUGUAGCGGUGAAAUGCGUAGAGAUUGGGAGGAACACCAGUGGCGAAGGCGGCUUUCUGGACUGACACUGACGCUGAGGCACGAAAGCGUGGGGAGCAAACA
rnacentral:rRNA from 1 species